GUGACUAACAAAUUCUUCUUUUCCUGUUAAUUACAUGCUGUCAUUAGUUUGUCAUCAUCUCUUGUACUCAUUUCAAUGGGAGCCGCCAGUGCAACCAUCAAUAGGACUGCAAGGACAUGAGUGAUGAAACUGGCUGUGUCAAUGGUAUGAAUCUCCUGCCUUACCCUUCCUCUCCUGAUCGUUACCAGCCAAAUGAACUUCAAACUCUCCAUCUGUGUCUACAACUGAAUCUUUAUUUCUCAUGCACAGCAACCCACUGUGAGGGCCCAACCAGGUUUAAGUGCCGCAGUGGCGUGACUGCAGGGAUUGGUCAGAUGAGCCUCUUAGGGAAUGUGUUGAGUGCAAGAGGCCUCUCAUUCAUAAACGCUUUAAUGAGUGUCUGUACAACAACGGCGGCUGCUCACAUAUUUGCAAUGACCUGAAGAUCGGCUAUGAGUGCCUGUGUCCUGCUGGAUACCGCCUGGUUGAAAAAAAACGCUGUGAAGAUAUCGAUGAGUGUG